rnacentral:tRNA from 1 species
GGCGGAUGAGCCAAGGG